rnacentral:miRNA from 1 species
UGAGAACUGGUUUUCAUAGACUG